rnacentral:rRNA from 1 species
CAGUAGCCGCGUAAUACGUAGGUGGCAAGCGUUGUCCGGAAUUAUUGGGCGUAAAGGGCUCGCAGGCGGUUUCUUAAGUCUGAUGUGAAAGCCCCCGGCUCAACCGGGGAGGGUCAUUGGAAACUGGGAAACUUGAGUGCAGAAGAGGAGAGUGGAAUUCCACGUGUAGCGGUGAAAUGCGUAGAGAUGUGGAGGAACACCAGUGGCGAAGGCGACUCUCUGGUCUGUAACUGACGCUGAGGAGCGAAAGCGUGGGGAGCGAACAGGAUCAGAUACCCCUGUAGUCCCUGUCUCUUAUACA